GUGGCGGAGCGUCGUUUGCGACGCCCAACACACAAAACAAGCGGUGAGUGCUUUGGGGUGGGGUGACUGCGUACCUUUUGUAUAAUGGGUCAGCGACUUAUAUUCUGUAGCAAGGUUAACCGUAUAGGGGAGCCGAAGGGAAACCGAGUCUUAACUGGGCGUUAAGUUGCAGGGUAUAGACCCGAAACCCGGUGAUCUAGCCAUGGGCAGGUUGAAGGUUGGGUAACACUAACUGGAGGACCGAACCGACUAAUGUUGAAAAAUUAGCGGAUGACUUGUGGCUGGGGGUGAAAGGCCAAUCAAACCGGGAGAUAGCUGGUUCUCCCCGAAAGCUAUUUAGGUAGCGCCUCGUGAACUCAUCUUCGGGGGUAGAGCACUGUUUCGGCUAGGGGGUCAUCCCGACUUACCAACCCGAUGCAAACUGCGAAUACCGAAGAAUGUUAUCACGGGAGACACACGGCGGGUGCUAACGUCCGUCGUGAAGAGGGAAACAACCCAGACCGCCAGCUAAGGUCCCAAAGUCACAGUUAAGUGGGAAACGAUGUGGGAAGGCUCAGACAGCCAGGAUGUUGGCUUAGAAGCAGCCAUCAUUUAAAGAAAGCGUAAUAGCUCACUGGUCGAGUCGGCCUGCGCGGAAGAUGUAACGGGGCUAAACUGUGCACCGAAGCUGCGGCAGCGACGCUUAUGCGUUGUUGGGUAGGGGAGCGUUCUGUAAGCCUGCGAAGGUGUCCUGUGAGGGAUGCUGGAGGUAUCAGAAGUGCGAAUGCUGACAUAAGUAACGAUAAUGC
rnacentral:rRNA from 1 species